GGGUUGUGAGGUUAAGCGACUAAGCGUACACGGUGGAUGCCCUGGCAGUCAGAGGCGAUGAAGGACGUGCUAAUCUGCGAUAAGCGUCGGUAAGGUGAUAUGAACCGUUAUAACCGGCGAUUUCCGAAUGGGGAAACCCAGUGUGUUUCGACACACUAUCAUUAACUGAAUCCAUAGGUUAAUGAGGCGAACCGGGGGAACUGAAACAUCUAAGUACCCCGAGGAAAAGAAAUCAACCGAGAUUCCCCCAGUAGCGGCGAGCGAACGGGGAGCAGCCCAGAGCCUGAAUCAGUGUGUGUGUUAGUGGAAGCGUCUGGAAAGGCGCGCGAUACAGGGUGACAGCCCCGUACACAAAAAUGCACAUGCUGUGAGCUCGAUGAGUAGGGCGGGACACGUGGUAUCCUGUCUGAAUAUGGGGGGACCAUCCUCCAAGGCUAAAUACUCCUGACUGACCGAUAGUGAACCAGUACCGUGAGGGAAAGGCGAAAAGAACCCCGGCGAGGGGAGUGAAAAAGAACCUGAAACCGUGUACGUACAAGCAGUGGGAGCACGCUUAGGCGUGUGACUGCGUACCUUUUGUAUAAUGGGUCAGCGACUUAUAUUCUGUAGCAAGGUUAACCGAAUAGGGGAGCCGAAGGGAAACCGAGUCUUAACUGGGCGUUAAGUUGCAGGGUAUAGACCCGAAACCCGGUGAUCUAGCCAUGGGCAGGUUGAAGGUUGGGUAACACUAACUGGAGGACCGAACCGACUAAUGUUGAAAAAUUAGCGGAUGACUUGUGGCUGGGGGUGAAAGGCCAAUCAAACCGGGAGAUAGCUGGUUCUCCCCGAAAGCUAUUUAGGUAGCGCCUCGUGAAUUCAUCUCCGGGGGUAGAGCACUGUUUCGGCAAGGGGGUCAUCCCGACUUACCAACCCGAUGCAAACUGCGAAUACCGGAGAAUGUUAUCACGGGAGACACACGGCGGGUGCUAACGUCCGUCGUGAAGAGGGAAACAACCCAGACCGCCAGCUAAGGUCCCAAAGUCAUGGUUAAGUGGGAAACGAUGUGGGAAGGCCCAGACAGCCAGGAUGUUGGCUUAGAAGCAGCCAUCAUUUAAAGAAAGCGUAAUAGCUCACUGGUCGAGUCGGCCUGCGCGGAAGAUGUAACGGGGCUAAACCAUGCACCGAAGCUGCGGCAGCGACGCUUAUGCGUUGUUGGGUAGGGGAGCGUUCUGUAAGCCUGCGAAGGUGUGCUGUGAGGCAUGCUGGAGGUAUCAGAAGUGCGAAUGCUGACAUAAGUAACGAUAAAGCGGGUGAAAAGCCCGCUCGCCGGAAGACCAAGGGUUCCUGUCCAACGUUAAUCGGGGCAGGGUGAGUCGACCCCUAAGGCGAGGCCGAAAGGCGUAGUCGAUGGGAAACAGGUUAAUAUUCCUGUACUUGGUGUUACUGCGAAGGGGGGACGGAGAAGGCUAUGUUGGCCGGGCGACGGUUGUCCCGGUUUAAGCGUGUAGGCUGGUUUUCCAGGCAAAUCCGGAAAAUCAAGGCUGAGGCGUGAUGACGAGGCACUACGGUGCUGAAGCAACAAAUGCCCUGCUUCCAGGAAAAGCCUCUAAGCAUCAGGUAACAUCAAAUCGUACCCCAAACCGACACAGGUGGUCAGGUAGAGAAUACCAAGGCGCUUGAGAGAACUCGGGUGAAGGAACUAGGCAAAAUGGUGCCGUAACUUCGGGAGAAGGCACGCUGAUAUGUAGGUGAAGUCCCUCGCGGAUGGAGCUGAAAUCAGUCGAAGAUACCAGCUGGCUGCAACUGUUUAUUAAAAACACAGCACUGUGCAAACACGAAAGUGGACGUAUACGGUGUGACGCCUGCCCGGUGCCGGAAGGUUAAUUGAUGGGGUUAGCGCAAGCGAAGCUCUUGAUCGAAGCCCCGGUAAACGGCGGCCGUAACUAUAACGGUCCUAAGGUAGCGAAAUUCCUUGUCGGGUAAGUUCCGACCUGCACGAAUGGCGUAAUGAUGGCCAGGCUGUCUCCACCCGAGACUCAGUGAAAUUGAACUCGCUGUGAAGAUGCAGUGUACCCGCGGCAAGACGGAAAGACCCCGUGAACCUUUACUAUAGCUUGACACUGAACAUUGAGCCUUGAUGUGUAGGAUAGGUGGGAGGCUUUGAAGUGUGGACGCCAGUCUGCAUGGAGCCGACCUUGAAAUACCACCCUUUAAUGUUUGAUGUUCUAACGUGGACCCGUAAUCCGGGUUGCGGACAGUGUCUGGUGGGUAGUUUGACUGGGGCGGUCUCCUCCUAAAGAGUAACGGAGGAGCACGAAGGUUGGCUAAUCCUGGUCGGACAUCAGGAGGUUAGUGCAAUGGCAUAAGCCAGCUUGACUGCGAGCGUGACGGCGCGAGCAGGUGCGAAAGCAGGUCAUAGUGAUCCGGUGGUUCUGAAUGGAAGGGCCAUCGCUCAACGGAUAAAAGGUACUCCGGGGAUAACAGGCUGAUACCGCCCAAGAGUUCAUAUCGACGGCGGUGUUUGGCACCUCGAUGUCGGCUCAUCACAUCCUGGGGCUGAAGUAGGUCCCAAGGGUAUGGCUGUUCGCCAUUUAAAGUGGUACGCGAGCUGGGUUUAGAACGUCGUGAGACAGUUCGGUCCCUAUCUGCCGUGGGCGCUGGAGAACUGAGGGGGGCUGCUCCUAGUACGAGAGGACCGGAGUGGACGCAUCACUGGUGUUCGGGUUGUCAUGCCAAUGGCACUGCCCGGUAGCUAAAUGCGGAAGAGAUAAGUGCUGAAAGCAUCUAAGCACGAAACUUGCCCCGAGAUGAGUUCUCCCUGACCCUUUAAGGGUCCUGAAGGAACGUUGAAGACGACGACGUUGAUAGGCCGGGUGUGUAAGCGCAGCGAUGCGUUGAGCUAACCGGUACUAAUGAACCGUGAGGCUUAACCUUACAACGCCGAAGCUGUU
rnacentral:rRNA from 1 species